rnacentral:tRNA from 1 species
UAGAUUGAAGCCCGCUGGCUAGGGCGUUUAGUUGUUAAUUAAAGGUUUUGUAGGAUCGAGGCCUGCCAGUCUAUU